UGGGGAAUAUUGGACAAUGGGGGCAACCCUGAUCCAGCCAUGCCGCGUGAGUGAUGAAGGCCUUAGGGUUGUAAAGCUCUUUCGGCGGGGAAGAUGAUGACGGUACCCGCAGAAGAAGCCUCGGCUAACUCCGUGCCAGCAGCCGCGGUAAGACGGAGGAGGCUAGCGUUGUUCGGAAUUACUGGGCGUAAAGCGCACGCAGGUGGCGAUACAAGUCGGGUGUGAAAGCCCGGGGCUCAACCCCGGAUGUGCAUUCGAUACUGUAUUGCUUGAGCCCGGAAGAGGAGAGUGGAAUUCCCAGUGUAGAGGUGAAAUUCGUAGAUAUUGGGAAGAACACCAGUGGCGAAGGCGACUCUCUGGUCCGGUGCUGACACUCAGGUGCGAAAGCGUGGGGAGCAAA
rnacentral:rRNA from 1 species